GACGAACGCUGGCGGCGUGCUUAACACAUGCGAGUCGAACGGAAAGGCCCUGCUUUUGUGGGGUGCUCGAGUGGCGAACGGGUGAGUAACACGUGAGUAACCUGCCCUUGACUUUGGGAUAACUUCAGGAAACUGGGGCUAAUACCGGAUAGGAGCUCCUGCUGCAUGGUGGGGGUUGGAAAGUUUCGGCGGUUGGGGAUGGACUCGCGGCUUAUCAGCUUGUUGGUGGGGUAGUGGCUUACCAAGGCUUUGACGGGUAGCCGGCCUGAGAGGGUGACCGGCCACAUUGGGACUGAGAUACGGCCCAGACUCCUACGGGAGGCAGCAGUGGGGAAUAUUGCACAAUGGGCGGAAGCCUGAUGCAGCAACGCCGCGUGCGGGAUGACGGCCUUCGGGUUGUAAACCACUUUCGCCUGUGACGAAGCGUGAGUGACGGUAAUGGGUAAAGAAGCACCGGCUAACUACGUG
rnacentral:rRNA from 1 species